CUGAAGACUGUGCACUUCAGUCUGCGAUGCCCGUCAUCCAUCUCUUUCGUCAGAGAAGCUUCAGAAAGGCUGUGCGAGUUGUGAAGGAUUUACUACGCUGGAAUGAAAUCCUGGUUUGCAACUCAUGCCGUUUACAAGUUCAAUACAAACAGCCCUGUUCCUCGAGGAGGAGAACGCUCCAGCGCCCAAUCAUGAAUACGUCAGUGAUUUGUCGGGAAGCUUUUCUAUAUGCGCAUAAAAAUAACAUGAAAACUA